AGGAAAAGAAACCAUCCAGGGAUUGCCUUAGUAGCGGCGAGUGAAGCGGCAAAAGCUCAAAUUUGAAAUCUGGCACUUUCAGUGUCCGAGUUGUAAUUUGAAGAAGGUAUCUUUGGGUCUGGCUCUUGUCUAUGUUUCUUGGAACAGAACGUCACAGAGGGUGAGAAUCCCGUGCGAUGAGAUGUCCCAGACCUAUGUAAAGUUCCUUCGAAGAGUCGAGUUGUUUGGGAAUGCAGCUCUAAGUGGGUGGUAAAUUCCAUCUAAAGCUAAAUAUUGGCGAGAGACCGAUAGCGAACAAGUACAGUGAUGGAAAGAUGAAAAGAACUUUGAAAAGAGAGUGAAAAAGUACGUGAAAUUGUUGAAAGGGAAGGGCUUGAGAUCAGACUUGGUAUUUUGUAUGUUACUCUCUCGGGGGUGGCCUCUACAGUUUACCGGGCCAGCAUCAGUUUGAGCGGUAGGAUAAGUGCAAAGAAAUGUGGCACUGCUUCGGUAGUGUGUUAUAGUCUUUGUCGAUACUGCCAGCUUAGACUGAGGACUGCGGCUUCGGCCUAGGAUGUUGGCAUAAUGAUCUUAAGUCGCCCGUCUUGAACCACGGAC
rnacentral:rRNA from 1 species